rnacentral:rRNA from 1 species
GAUCAUGGCUCAGAUUGAACGCUGGCGGCAUGCCUUACACAUGCAAGUCGAACGGCAGCGGGCCUUCGGGUGCCGGCGAGUGGCGAACGGGUGAGUAAUGCAUCGGAACGUGCCAUUGAGUGGGGGAUAACGUAGCGAAAGUUGCGCUAAUACCGCAUAUUCUGUGAGCAGGAAAGCAGGGGACCGCAAGGCCUUGCGCUCUUUGAGCGGCCGAUGUCAGAUUAGCUAGUUGGUGAGGUAAAGGCUUACCAAGGCGACGAUCUGUAGCGGGUCUGAGAGGAUGAUCCGCCACACUGGAACUGAGACACGGUCCAGACUCCUACGGGAGGCAGCAGUGGGGAAUUUUGGACAAUGGGGGCAACCCUGAUCCAGCCAUGCCGCGUGAGUGAAGAAGGCCUUCGGGUUGUAAAGCUCUUUCGGCCGGGAAGAAAUCGCAUGGGUUAAUACCCUGUGCGGAUGACGGUACCGGCAUAAGAAGCACCGGCUAACUACGUG